rnacentral:rRNA from 1 species
UACGUAGGGGGCAAGCGUUGUCCGGAAUCAUUGGGCGUAAAGAGCGUGUAGGCGGCUUGGUAAGUCCGCUGUGAAAGUCCAGGGCUCAACCCUGGAAUGCCGGUGGAAACUGUCAAGCUUGAGUCCGGAAGAGGCGAGUGGAAUUCCUGGUGUAGCGGUGAAAUGCGCAGAUAUCAGGAGGAACACCGAUGGCGAAGGCAGGUCUCUGGGCUGUAACUGACGCUGUGGCGCGAAAGCUAGGGGAGCAAACGGG